AGGAUCUACACAUGUAUGUUAACUCUGCAGCUGUCAAAACAGCUGGAUGUGUGUACUGUUAGUACUGCUAUAGCUGUUCUUUUGAAGAACAGUACCAACAUUAGUUUUGAUGGCCCCCUCAGUCGAAUUGCCAUAUGUCGUUUGCCUACUGAUGCGGAAACCUUUCCUUUAAACUCAACAUUCACUUGGAUGUCUGUAAAUUUCAGUUCCAGCCACAUUGAUGACAUCAGCAACAAUUUGAAAUGUGCACAGGAUCAGAUAUUCGCUGUUAUUUUAAAUGAGAGCUGUGAAGUCUCCCCUUCUGAGUCCUACACAACUCAAGUUGUCCCUUCUAGAUCAAGUUCUGAGAGCAGUGCUACAUUCCCAAACAUCAAGUCUCCAUCAGUAACUACAGAUUGGUCACUGACCAACCAAACCCACACUGCAGUCACAUCAUCCACACCAUUAGUCACAAACACUUCUAGUAUACCACUCAGUACAACAAGUCUAAAAUUAAAUACAUCCAUCAACAGUACAGACAAUCAAACAAACACUGUUUCAAAUUAUACAGCAAGUCUGCCACUCAAUUCAACACAUGAUACAGAACCACCCGUCAAUAUAGCAAGUACACUACACUAUAUAACAACAUCAGUGGUCAGUACAACACAUAAAACAUCAAGUUUAACACCUCAACUGAGCAAUACAGCAGUUACAACACACUAUACAACAACCUCACCAGUAAGUACAACAGGUACAUCAAACAAUAUGCCAGCAUCAUUGGUCAGUACAGAAAAUAUUAUACACAAUAUAACAACCCCAGAAGUCAGCAAAACAGGUGCAACACACAAUAUAAAAACUUCACCUGUCAAUA